rnacentral:tRNA from 1 species
GCCAGUAUGGCUCAAUUGGUUGAGCGUCCACUCAUGCACCAAAAUGUCCUGGGUUUGAAUCCCAGUCAGGGCA